rnacentral:rRNA from 1 species
GACGAACGCUGGCGGCGUGCUUAACACAUGCAAGUCGAACGGAAAGGCCCUGCUUUUGUGGGGUGCUCGAGUGGCGAACGGGUGAGUAACACGUGAGUAACCUGCCCUUGACUUUGGGAUAACUUCAGGAAACUGGGGCUAAUACCGGAUAGGAGCUCCUGCUGCAUGGUGGGGGUUGGAAAGUUUCGGCGGUUGGGGAUGGACUCGCGGCUUAUCAGCUUGUUGGUGGGGUAGUGGCUUACCAAGGCUUUGACGGGUAGCCGGCCUGAGAGGGUGACCGGCCACAUUGGGACUGAGCUACGGCCCAGACUCCUACGGGAGGCAGCAGUGGGGAAUAUUGCACAAUGGGAGGAAGCCUGAUGCAGCAACGCCGCGUGCGGGAUGACGGCCUUCGGGUUGUAAACCGCUUUCGCCUGUGACGAAGCGUGAGUGACGGUAAUGGGUAAAGAAGCACCGGCUAACUACGUG